CUAAGUUGACUGCCGGUGACAAACCGGAGGAAGGUGGGGAUGACGUCAAAUCAUCAUGCCCCUUAUGAUUUGGGCUACACACGUGCUACAAUGGACAAUACAAAGGGCAGCGAAACCGCGAGGUCAAGCAAAUCCCAUAAAGUUGUUCUCAGUUCGGAUUGUAGUCUGCAACUCGACUACAUGAAGCUGGAAUCGCUAGUAAUCGUAGAUCAGCAUGCUACGGUGAAUACGUUCCCGGGUCUUGUACACACCGCCCGUCACACCACGAGAGUUUGUAACACCCGAAGCCGGUGGAGUAACCUUUUAGGAGCUAGCCGUCGAAGGUGGGACAAAUGAUUGGGGUGAAGUCGUAACAAGGUAGCCGUAUCGGAAGGUGCGGCUGGAUCACCUCCUUUCUAAGGA
rnacentral:rRNA from 1 species